rnacentral:rRNA from 1 species
UACGAAGGGGGCUAGCGUUGUUCGGAAUCACUGGGCGUAAAGCGCACGUAGGCGGAUUGUUAAGUCGGGGGUGAAAUCCUGAGGCUCAACCUCAGAACUGCCUUCGAUACUGGCAAUCUCGAGUCCGGAAGAGGUUGGUGGAACAGCUAGUGUAGAGGUGAAAUUCGUAGAUAUUAGCUAGAACACCAGUGGCGAAGGCGGCCAACUGGUCCGGUACUGACGCUGAGGUGCGAAAGCGUGGGGAGCAAACGGGG